GGCAGUGAGGGUGAUCUGACUGGGACAUCUGUCACCCCGCUGAUCGCUGGGGUUGACUCGGCUGCUCUGGCCGGCUGGGCAGGUGUCAGGUGUCCCCUCCCUCCCUCACCGCUCCCUGCGUCUCUCCCGAAGCUGCACGCUCGGGAGAAGAGGACCUUCCCCGAUAGAGGAGAGGACCAUUCUCCCGCCAAAGGUAUUUAACAA
rnacentral:snRNA from 1 species